AUAGCUGGUUUUCUGCGAAAUCUAUUUUAGUAGAUGAUUUAUUAUUUUAUUAGUGGGUAUAGCACUGAAUAUCUCGUAAUUUGAAUUACAAGAAGGGAGUAUGAAAGUACUUACUUUGGAUAUUUAAUCUCAGAAUAACUAAUAAGAAGAUAAGAUAAAUUCUCAGACUUUUUGCGAUAAGGUGAAAAGUCGAAAGGGAAACAGCCCAGAAUAAUGAAUAAAGUUCCUCAAUUGUUACUGAGUGAAAGAAAAGAGGUUUUUCAUCUGAGACAAUCAAGAAG
rnacentral:rRNA from 1 species